UCUCUCUCUAACUUCUCUCUAACCUCCCUAAACCCCUCCCAAGUCUAGGGAACCUCCCUAUCACGAGAAGAAAGCCCCGGAGCGCCCGACGGCUCCGAGAAGAAAAGCUUUCGGCUCGGAAACGCUGCUCCAGCGAAGCCCGGUUUUUAAUAAAAACCCGCUGUUUCGUCAAGGGAUAAUUGUUUUAAGAGUAACGAAGUGCUGUCCGAGUGCCGACUCACCACCUUUCAAGUGACGAAGUGAAGUGACAUUACACUGAGAGAUUUAAAGAGAUGUAGAUCACUAGUGUAAAUCAUUGUACUUCUGAUGAUCGCGGGAAGGCGAAGACGUGACCGUACACAUCCUCAUAUUUUAUGGCCUUAUGAUUUUGGGAUACUCUGAUAAACACUUUGGAAACAAUGAUUUUGUAAAAAUUUUAUGAUUAUGGGUUGUUUUGAAAAGUUCAAAAUUGUUGUGAUUUUUGAGACGUUACAAGUUUGUAUCAUAGCUUUGGUUUGAGCGAAUUGGAGGAACACCCGUGUGAAUCCAGUCUCAAACUAAGGAGCUGCAAAUGUUUUAAGCCUCAAAGGGACCCACAAGUACAUCUUUUUCAACUUAAUCCAUUAAGUACAAGUCUCCAACCUUCAUAUCUAAAUCAAAAUGAUGUUUAGAUGGAUAAAGUUUCCAAAUUUAUCCAUAACAAGGUCACAAAAUUUAAAGAUUUAAACUUUAUAACUCUAGAAGAAAGAUCAAUGUGAGCAAAGUCUGGAUCUACAAGCUCUAAUGCAACCAACACUUCUUCAAUGAGUUCCUUCUUCUCCAAGGUGCACCAAGAACACUCCAAAGCACUUAAAAACACCUUCUUUUUCUCACAAGGCUCAAUCUAGGGUUAGGGUUACAAGAGAGGGUAUUGGAGAGGUGGAGGCUAAGUAUGGAAUUAGUUUGGGGGAGUUAAGGAGCUUAAAUAAGGCUCAAACCACGAAAAUAGGGGUUGGGAACUAAUCGCGUACACCCAACGUACUAGGAAUGCCCUAGUACGCCCAACGUAUACAACUCAACCCAAAACCGCCCUAACUUCAAACGAUCAUAACUUCUUCGUUUCAACUCCGAUUUCGACGAUCUUUAUAUCCACGCAAAGGUGUUUAGAAGCUCUACAACCCUAUCAACUCUCCUUUGACUUAAAACUUACCGAACUCAAAUCCAAAAUUCAUAAAAGGCUCGAACUAUCACUCUAUGGUUAUACCGUUGGGCUCCAAAGCACCAACCGAAAUCUCGGAUCACCUAAUCUAUAUUACCCACAUCCAAAGGGGCCUAAAUCUCUUUCCUCUUCAUUCUAAGGUUUCUAGGGUCUUAAGUGUGAGCUAUUAGAGAUAGCCAUACUUUUGGUGCUUGUUUUCCAAGGAAGGUUUGAAGAAAGUAGAUUGUUAUAUUUAAUGAUUGCAAAAGGUAUAUAACAAUAAUCUUGUGAUUUUUGAUAUUACAUAGGUUAGAUUAGUUUUUCAAAAUAUGUUGCUAUUAUGAGAAAAACCAUAGAUCUCUAGGUUGCAUGUAGAGAUGCACACAAAAACUGAUUUCACUAUUCGAAAUCGGAUCCAAUCCAAAACCGGAUCGAGUCAAAACCGGAUCGGAUCAGAUUUAAAAUCGGAUCCUAAUCCUACUUUCCAAAUUGGAUUUAAUACCGGAUCGUCAACCAUAUUUUCCAAAAACCGGUUUGAAAACUGACCAAAAUCCAUUAAAACCCCAAAAAAAUCCGGGUCAAACCGAUUUAUAUCAUCGAUUGGGAAGCUGGUUAAUCCGGAUUGAAAUAAAGGCAAACCGGAUCGACGAUGACGUAAGCGAAACCGGAUCGGAUCAGACCAAAUUUGGGUUUUGUGCACCUCUAGUUGCAUGUGACGAUAAAUUGUUUUAUGUAAAUUCCUUGUUUGACUAUUACAGGCUUAUGUCCAAUGGCGGAUCCAGACUUUCAGUCAACUGGGGUCCGCUAGUGGAUCGUUUUCGAACAACUUUGAGCCGUUUCCGGUGGUUACCAAGUACUGUAGUAGUUUUCGGCAGUUUCAGGCGACCGCAAGCAGUUUCUGACGACUAGAGUAGUUUGCAAGCGACUCAGAGCAUAUUCCGGCAAGUGGUUGGUUGUCUCCGACUUCUUUUCUAGGUGAAGUUGUGCAUACCAACAGCUAGGGUAGGCUUAAGAAGAGGGAUACUUUGUUAUCCGCUGAUUCAAGAGGUGCCAAUCUUUUGUGAAGUGGGGCAAUUACUUAUUUCAUAUCAAUAGAUGCAAAAAAAAUUAUACAUAUUUAAUAGGUGUUGCCACUCCAAGUGGUGCCAUACACCCCACUACCCAAAGGGCAGCUCUGCCACUGCUUAUGUCAACAUAACAUGAAAACUCAAAUUAAAAAUAUAUGAUCAUUUCCGAAAAAGGAAAAACUUUCUGAAAUGGAUUUUAGAAAUUCUACAUUUCUAGAAAAUGUUAUUUUUGAUCCAGUGAAGUAUAACAAGCAAAGUAGCAUUUUCAGGCUCCGAAAAUCCGUAGCAUAUUUACAAAAUUCGACAAAACCCUUACAAAAACUCAAAAACUUACCUAAGGCGAUGUACAUUCAAUAUAUGCACAUGAAAGGGUUCCAUUUUAUGAAACAACCGUUGAUAUUAAGGGAGUGUUUAACUAAGCUUCUUAAAACAACUUAUUAGGUUCCACACCACUAUAAGUUAAAAAAAUGUUUAGAUGAAAAAUAACUUAUUCCGGUGGGAACCUCUAAUAAGUCAUUUUUUCAUAAGUUACCCUACACUUAUUAACUUAUAAACUAAUAAGCUAAUAAAUUAUAAGCUAAUAAACAAUAAGUUUUUUUUUUGUCAAACACCCCCUAAGCAUUUUGGAACUUGGGUUCGAGAGAUAAUUUUUUUUUGAAGUGGUAGGGACAAAUGAAAGUGGAAUAAAAUUUAUAUAUAUUUCUAACUCUAAAAUGGAUCUAUUUCGCAUAUAAUGGUCAUUUUGGUAAAUGCCCAAAAGUUUGGUCAACAACCUAUAGUUACUAGUUAGACAUUGACUGUUUAGUUUGUCUUUGAUAUUUAACUGCUCCAUCUAUGGACUAUGGUGAACCUUUUAUAAACAUUUUGGAGUUCUAACAUGUUUAAAUUAUUUGUAAUUUUCCAAUGCCGUUAAGAAAUAAUAUUUUCUUUUUCAAAAUAUAAUAUUAUUUAUAACAUAACAAACAUAAAUCUCAAAAAGAUACAAAUAUCUUCGCCUUAAGUUAUGUAAAAGGAAAUUUCUUGUUUUCAUUAACAUAAUGUAAUUUUUCAAC